rnacentral:rRNA from 1 species
AUAGAUACCCCGGUAGUCCACGCCGUAAACGAUGAGUGCUAAGUGUUAGGGGGUUUCCGCCCCUUAGUGCUGCAGCUAACGCAUUAAGCACUCCGCCUGGGGAGUACGGUCGCAAGACUGAAACUCAAAGGAAUUGACGGGGGCCCGCACAAGCGGUGGAGCAUGUGGUUUAAUUCGAAGCAACGCGAAGAACCUUACCAGGUCUUGACAUCCCGUUGACCACUGUAGAGAUAUGGUUUUCCCUUCGGGGACAACGGUGACAGGUGGUGCAUGGUUGUCGUCAGCUCGUGUCGUGAGAUGUUGGGUUAAGUCCCGCAACGAGCGCAACCCUUGAUCUUAGUUGCCAUCAUUUAGUUGGGCACUCUAAGGUGACUGCCGGUGACAAACCGGAGGAAGGUGGGGAUGACGUCAAAUCAUCAUGCCCCUUAUGACCUGGGCUACACACGUGCUACAAUGGACGAUACAAACGGUUGCCAACUCGCGAGAGGGAGCUAAUCCGAUAAAGUCGUUCUCAGUUCGGAUUGUAGGCUGCAACUCGCCUA